CCCAAACACCAUUUUAUUUGACGACCCGAAGGCAAGAUGACCACACCAAAGGAUGUUCAGCCGAGACAGUUUUGCAGUCAUUGGAGGGAUGUGCUGCAAAUCUGUUGGAAAAAUUUAAGUACAACCAGAAGACAUCCCAAACCACCUAAGAGGCUACUGUCCAGGCUUCAGGAAAAUCAAUGUGGAAAACUCACACCACACCCGCUCUGCACUACAGUUGUUUUUCUCUGCUCAUCAAAGACAGCAGUGGUGCCCCCAGGUUGGCAUACAACUGUCUAGAACAAGGAUUCAAGGCUAGGCAGCUCUUUAAAAGCAGAAACCUGGAGGCCUGUACUGUGGCACAGCGGGUUAAGCCACCACCUGCAGUGCCUGCAUCCCAGAUGGGCAACAGUUCAAGUCCUGGUUGCUCCACUUCCAAUCCAGCUACCUGCCUGGGA